UUUGUCCUUGGUUUUAUUGCUG
rnacentral:miRNA from 1 species